GACAUUACUAACCAUGGAUGGGCUUUUGCGAAUAAUAUGGUGUCCAUCGUGUGGAUGGAUUUACCUCCAGCACCGGACGGCGUCUUAGAAAAUGUGCAUUGCGGGUGUAAAUCGGGAUGCUCAAACAAUAGGUGCUCUUGUUUUAAAGAAAACCUUCACUGCACGGAUAUGUGUCGUUGCGAAGGAUGCGCCAACCGUUCGGGAUCAGCGGACGAAAACUCAGAAAAUGAAGCCAAAGAUUACGAUAUUAAUCAUGAAGCCGAUAGCGAGAGCGAUAAUGGUUAUGGAGACAAUUGAAGGUGAUGUAAAG